rnacentral:misc_RNA from 1 species
AAGAGGUGUAUUUACUACUGAAUUAUGUAUCAUUUCAUUAAGACAUAAUGUCUAGCUUUAAAAAAACUACACGAUGAACAGUUUUACAAACAUUUAAGAACAACGAUAACGAGCUAUAAGAUCCAGGUAACAUGUUGAAAAACUUCAUGUUAGCUAAAAGGAUCAAAUUAAAACAGUACUAUUUGACAACGAUUUGCUUAGUGCAUUAGGGCUACUGCAGCUUCUUGUACUAACGGCUGAGUUAUAUGAACGAAAUGCUCUGCUUCCCUCUCUACCUGUUCGCGGCAUUUGUUAGCGUCUUUUCCUUCUUUCAUUUUCUUCACAAAGGCAACGAAUCGUCUCCAGUUAUCAGGAUGGAAUAAGUCAGGAUUCAUCCUCAAGUAUGUAAACGCGCUCAUCUCUCUAUCACCUGAUUGAUCGUUGAUGCUCAACGAGGACGCUUGAAGGAUCUGUUCAUGAGCAUAAUCAUCGUAUCGUGGCAAUGCAUUCUCCCCAGCAAGUGGAACUUGAGCUUCCUGAGUUGCUAACGCCACCUGCCUAACCAACUUCUCAGGUGCACAUUGUGCAUCUUGUGGCUGCUCGUGGUCACGCAUUUCAACACAUGUGAAGUUG